rnacentral:snRNA from 1 species
AAAGAGCGUCUUUAUUUUUUUC